UGGGAAUCUGCCCAGUAGUGGGGGACAACAGCCGGAAACGGUUGCUAAUACCGCAUACGCCCUACGGGGGAAAGGGGGGGAUCUUCGGACCUCUCGCUAUUGGAUGAGCCCGCGUCGGAUUAGCUAGUUGGUAGGGUAAAGGCCUACCAAGGCUACGAUCCGUAACUGGUCUGAGAGGAUGAUCAGUCACACUGGAACUGAGACACGGUCCAGACUCCUACGGGAG
rnacentral:rRNA from 1 species